rnacentral:rRNA from 1 species
UGGGGAAUCUUGCGCAGUGGGCGAAAGCCUGACGCAGCCAUGCCGCGUGAGUGAUGAAGGCCUUAGGGUUGUAAAACUCUUUCACCGGGGACGAUAAUGACGGUACCCGGAGAAGAAGCCCCGGCUAACUUCGUGCCAGCAGCCGCGGUAAUACGAAGGGGGCUAGCGUUGCUCGGAAUUACUGGGCGUAAAGGGCGCGUAGGCGGAUCAGCAAGUUGGGGUGAAAGCCCGGGGCUCAACCUCGGAAUUGCCUUCAAAACUGCUGAUCUAGAGUACGGGAGAGGUGUGUGGAACUCCGAGUGUAGAGGUGAAAUUCGUAGAUAUUCGGAAGAACACCAGUGGCGAAGGCGACACACUGGCCCGUUACUGACGCUGAGGCGCGAAAGCGUGGGGAGCAAACAGGUUAGANACCCUGGUAGUCCANGCUGUAAAACGNUGAUUGCUAGUUGUCGGCAGGCAUGCCUGUCGGUGACGCAGCUAACGCAUUAAGC